AUUGAACGCUGGCGGCAGGCCUAACACAUGCAAGUCGGACGAGCGGCGGACGGGUGAGUAAUGUAUGGGGACUGCCUGAUGGAGGGGGAUAACUACUGGAAACGGUAGCUAAUACCUCAUACCAUCAGAUAACCCAUAUGGGAUUAGCUUGUAGGUGAGGUAACGGCUCUCCUAGGCGACGAUCCCUAGCUGGUCGGAGAGGAUGAUCAGCCCACCGGGGACGUAGACAGGGCCCAGACUCCUACGGAGGCAGCAGUGGGGAAUAUUGGACAAUGGGCGCAAGCCUGAUGCAGCCAUGCCGCGUGUAUGAAGAAGGCCUUCGGGUUGUAAAGUACUUUCAGUCGGGAGGCGUUACCGACAGAAGAAGCACCGGCUAACUCCGUGCCAGCAGCCGCGGUAAUAC
rnacentral:rRNA from 1 species